AUUGAACGCUGGCGGCAGGCCUAACACAUGCAAGUCGAGCGGCAGCGGGUCCUUCGGGAUGCCGGCGAGCGGCGGACGGGUGAGUAAUGCCUAGGAAUCUGCCUGGUAGUGGGGGAUAACGUUCGGAAACGGACGCUAAUACCGCAUACGUCCUACGGGAGAAAGUGGGGGAUCUUCGGACCUCACGCUAUCAGAUGAGCCUAGGUCGGAUUAGCUAGUUGGUGGGGUAAAGGCUCACCAAGGCGACGAUCCGUAACUGGUCUGAGAGGAUGAUCAGUCACACUGGAACUGAGGCACGGUCCAGACUCCUACGGGAGGCAGCAGUGGGGAAUAUUGGACAAUGGGCGAAAGCCUGAUCCAGCCAUGCCGCGUGUGUGAAGAAGGUCUUCGGAUUGUAAAGCACUUUAAGUUGGGAGGAAGGGCAGUCAGUUAAUACCUGGUUGUUUUGACGUUACCAACAGAAUAAGCACCGGCUAACUUCGUGCCAGCCGCCGCAGUAAGAC
rnacentral:rRNA from 1 species